UACAGAGGGUGCGAGCGUUGCCCGGAAUCACUGGGCGUAAAGGGCGCGUAGGCGGCAUGACAAGUCACUUGUGAAAUCUCUGGGCUUAACCCAGAACGGCCAAGUGAUACUGUCGCGCUAGAGUGCGGAAGGGGCAAUCGGAAUUCUCGGUGUAGCGGUGAAAUGCGUAGAUAUCGAGAGGAACACCUGAGGUGAAGACGGGUUGCUGGGCCGACACUGACGCUGAGUGCGCGAAAGCCAGGGGAGCAAACGGG
rnacentral:rRNA from 1 species